UGUCUUGGUUCUGGACUGGUUCUAGACCUGUUUGGAUAAGGUAUUGGACUGAGUUUGGACUGGUUGUGUACUGGACUGGUUCUUAACUGGUUCUACAGUGGUUUUGGACCGGUUCUAGACUGGUAUUGGACUUCUCUCUCUAUUGGUUCUAGACUUGUUUUGGGUGUGCUAUGGGACUUGGUUCUCUACUGGACUUGGAUCUUGUAUAGGUCUUGUUUUUGAACUGGUUCUAGACUGGUUUUGGAUGUGGUAUUGGACUUGGUUCUCAGCUGACUUUGGACUCAUUCUUAACUGGUUCUAAACUGGUUCUAGACUGGUACUGGACAUGGUUUUGGACUGGUUCUAGACUUUUUAUAUGUGGUUCUAGACUGGUAUUGUACUUGGUUCUCUACUGAUUCUAGACUAGUUUUGGGUGUGCUGUUGGACUUGGUUCUGAACUGACUUUGUAGUGGUUCUUAACUGGUUUUGACUGUUUUUGGAUGUGGUAUUGGUGUUGUUUUCGGACUGGUUCUGGGCUGGUUUUGGACUUGACUCCCUACUGGUUCUGGAGUGGUUCUAGACAGGUUUUGGACAUGGUAUUGGACUUGGUUCUCUGCUGACUUUGGACUGGUUCUCAACUGGUUCUAGACUGUUAUUAGACUUGGUUCUUAACCGACUGUGGAGUGAUUCUUAAGUUUUUCUGGACUAGUUUUUGACAUGGUAUUAGACUUGGCUCUCUACUGGUUCUGGACUGGUUCUGGUCUCGUCUCUACUGGUCCUGGUGUUGGUCUUGUUUUUUAAAUGGCUUGAGGGACAUAACGUGUAACACAUUCCUCAUGAACGACUGCAGCUGAACAACUUGAAACAAGUGGUGGAUCUUUUCAGGGGAAACUUGACCUUCUGCCGCUAACGUGACCAAAUGAAAGCAGGCGGCUUAGUGAGCUGUGAGGAAGAGACCAAUAAUGAGGCCGAAGAAGAAGAUGGACGGAAGUGGGUCAACCAAUCCGAACACUCCGUCCCUCCUCCCUUGUGAUAAAGUGAGGCCUCAGGUAACAGAAUCACAUUGGUUCCACCCGCAGGUGUUGCGAAAUAUAAUCCUAAACUUCCCACCCGUGAUUAACACUUUAAGACUUGGAUGAAACGUCUCCUGCACGACGCAAACAAGUCCACCUGACUUUAUUUUAACUUUCUUUACUGGAUAAACCAUAACCUGGAUGACUGAAAACAUUUUUUUUAGACUUUUUAACACAUCUGAACGUUGCGGGCUUUGAACGCACCCUUCACCAACUUUGAGGAAACAGCGUCGGAGAAUUGGGAUUAAAACACAAAUAAAACGUUACAGCACGACAAGAAAUGUGCUGGUGAUCUUGCUGGAUCGUCCUCCUCAGCUGCUUCCUCGCUGCCACCUUGUGGUCUCACUGGAUACGACACCAGGAUCCAUCUUCAUGUUUUUGUCCCUUCUUCUUGUUUUCAGUGUUGCAGCUGCAGCCUUAAAUCAACACAAAGAAGCACUUGUCGUAAUGUAGCACUCACUCUUUUCAAUUCUGUUUAAUUUCAUAGAUAAAAACCGACUUUGCACCAACUUUCUGUGACGUCAAGAUAAAGAUAUUCCCGUUUAAACUUGCACAUAGCCCCGGCUCUGUUUUAAUGAUGGCCGACCUCUGGGUUCAGUUGUUUGCCGCAUCAAUAAUCUCAUCAGCUGACCUCCCUCCAUCUCGGCUCCUAAUAUCUGUUGUUUUCUGGAGCCAAACAAUGAGCUGUGAGCUCUCCCUCCAGGUCACUACUGUUCCCUGCCAGCUAAUUACAGCAGGGCCUCUGCAGAGGAGGGUGGUGUAGGGAGGGGGGGGGCGGCGUAUUUCUGACAAAUGUGCCAUCUCUGUAAUUAGCUCCAAAGCAACAUAUGAAACAUUAAACACGGCGGGCGCCGACGACAAUCAAAACAUUUCAUUUGUUGUCAAUUAUUCAUCACUUUGAAGGUUCUGAAGGGGUCGUUAAUAUGGAAAUAAGCCGGCCAUGCUAACAAGGUUGUAGUAUCUGAUUCUUUUUCUACUUUUUUUUAUUUUUAGGCUGAUUUUUUUAGUGGUUUCCUCUCUUAUUCAUGAAGCCUGCUCUUCAAACACGACCAGCCAACAACAAGACGCUUUAAACUCCGCCUGAUGGAACCUCUUUGAUGGCUUCAACUUCAGCUUCUCGUCAAGCUGUCGAAGCAGAGCUGACGAGAGUUGGAGAGACCGGUUCCCUGAAGUUCCCGUCUGCAGCUUUUCACGGUUUGGCUCCUUCUACCGUUAAUUAACAGGAUGAAAAGUCACCACUACCUUUUACAGCUGUCACAUCAGAACGAUGUCGACUUUAAAAAGAAAAAGAAGUAGAAGCCCUGUGGCUAUUUAAGGUAAUUAAUUCUGCUUCCUGUUACCUGUCGCGUAACCGUACACAUGAUGGAGUCACAACUAAUUCCAUAAAGGAGAUUUUAAGAAGUUACAACCAAAUAUGGAACCUCGUUUUUAAGUGCAUUUAAUGGAUUUUUUAUUUUUUGCAGUGUAUAACUUUGUGUAUCUCCUGAUUGUCAUAUUUUUUUUAUUAACCUUAUAUUUUUAUUCCUUACUGUUAUUUUAUUUAUUUUUUUAAAAACAACGUAUCUGCUUUUUGUUCCAAGAAUCAGUAUUUUUUACAGUGCAGUUUUUUUGUAGCAUGUCCUGUUUGACUUUUUUUUUUUGCUAUUUCGGCCUCUUGCAUG